CAGAGGUGUUUCUGAAUCUCACAACCACUUGUUCUUUGACUGUCCCUAUUCUGGAGAAGUGUGGCAUGAAGUCCUGAGGAAGAAGGUGAAUAGGGGCCCUAAGGCUUGGGAAGAUGAGAAAACUUGGUUUAUUCUGCAUGCUAAGGACUCAGAAUUUCAAUCUUGAAAAUUUCCUUGGCUGCAGCUCUGUAUCAUGUUUGGGUUGAAAGAAAUAGAAGCUGAUCCAACAAAGAUCACUAGACCCCUCAUCUCUUGAAUUGUUGAUUAACACUGCUAUCAGGGACUGUAUGCUUUCUUGGAGAAACAUAAAGCCUAGCUCAGAAAAUAAGGACAUUUGCACCUUGUGGAAUGUUCCUCAUAAAUCUCAUGAGGCUAUUGCCUUGAUGUUUUUUCUUUUUGUAUAUGGUGUACAGGAUGGCUUCUGACGGCAUAGUUUUUUCCUAAUCUUGCCAAGUAAGUGGUUUAUUGGUUUUUAUUUUGGUCUUGCAUGGCCAAGUAAGUAGUUUUGUUUUGGUCCUUGGACUGUUUUGGUUGUAUUCUGCGUUUGGGCUAUGAUGAAAUGAGUACAUUUACCGGGGAAAAAAAUAAACUAAAAUAGAGUGGGAGCCCCUGAUCUCCAAAAAAAAUCAUGAGAGCGAGAGAGAGAGAGAGAGAGAGAGAGAGAGAGAGAGAGAGAGAGAGAGAGAGAGAGAAUACUACCAACUACCAAUGCUAGACAAAGUAAUAAAAGCUCGUCUAAAGCUACCUUUAAAUAUCCAUCAACCACUAAAAAGCAGGAGACCCCUUUCGGGUGUCUUAAUUUAGAGAUUGAUUGGAUGUUCGAAUGGUGUCACUAAAGUGAUUUCCCCCUUUAAUACCUAUAUAAACUUGCACCAAAAACACUCAUAUUUCAUCCCUCUCAAGUCUCAAUAUAUGAUACUAACACACUUCCUAAAACAGUCAUUGGAGAUGCUCUUACACAUUAAGUCUGCUGGCAUAUAGAAUGUGAGACCCAAUCAAGUGGAGCCCACUCCACUGUCAUACUCUCUCCAGCACCAGUUUUCAGCAUUAGAGAAGCCGUUAAACAUAACAACUGAUAUCUGAGUGUAGUGUACCAGGCAGAUGACACUCACAUAACAACUAAAUCUGAGC